rnacentral:rRNA from 1 species
GACGAACGCUGGCGGCGUGCUUAACACAUGCAAGUCGAGCGGGAAACUUCGGUUUCCAGCGGCGGACGGGUGAGUAACACGUGGGCAACCUGCCUCACAAUGAGGGAUAGCCUUCCGAAAGGAAGAUUAAUACUUCAUAACACAAGAGAAACGCAUGUUUCUCUUGCCAAAGAAUUUCGUUGUGAGAUGGGCCCGCGGCGCAUUAGCUAGUUGGUGAGGUAACGGCUCACCAAGGCUUCGAUGCGUAGCCGACCUGAGAGGGUGAUCGGCCACAUUGGAACUGAGACACGGUCCAGACUCCUACGGGAGGCAGCAGUGGGGAAUAUUGCACAAUGGAGGAAACUCUGAUGCAGCAACGCCGCGUGAGUGAUGAAGGUCUUCGGAUUGUAAAGCUCUGUCUUCUGGGACGAUAAUGACGGUACCAGAGGAGGAAGCCACGGCUAACUACGUGCCAGCAGCCGCCGUAAAAC